rnacentral:rRNA from 1 species
UACGUAGGCAGCAAACGUUGUUCGGAAUUACUGGGCGUAAAGAGUGUGUAGGCGGUUCUGCAAGUUUGGUGUGAAAUCUCCCGGCUUAACUGGGAGGGUGCGCCGAAAACUGCAAGGCUAGAGUACUGGAGAGGAAAGCGGAAUUCCUGGUGUAGCGGUGAAAUGCGUAGAUAUCAGGAGGAACACCGGUGGUGUAGACGGCUUUCUGGACAGUAACUGACGCUGAGACACGAAAGCGUGGGGAGCAAACAGG